rnacentral:misc_RNA from 1 species
UACGUAGGUGGCAAGCGUUGUCGGGAAUUAUUGGGCGUAAAGCGCGCGCAGGCGGUCCUUUAAGCCUGAUGUGAAAGCCCACGGCCCAACCGUGGAGGGGCAGUGGAAACUGGAGGACUUGAGUGCAGAAGAGGAAAGUGGAAUUCCAUGUGUAGCGGUGAAAUGCGUAGAGAUGCGGAGGAACACCAGUGGCGAAGGCGACUUUCUGGUCUGUAACUGACGCUGAGGCGCGAAAGCGUGGGGAGCAAACAGG